UGACGAGUUUGAUCCUGGCUCAGGAUGAACGCUAGCGGCAGGCUUAACACAUGCAAGUCGAGGGGUAUAGUUCUUCGGAGCUAGAGACCGGCGCACGGGUGCGUAACGCGUAUGCAAUCUACCUUUUACAGGGGAAUAGCCCAGAGAAAUUUGGAUUAAUACCCCAUAGUAUAGCUGUAUCGCAUGAUACUACUAUUAAAGUCACAACGGUAAAAGAUGAGCAUGCGUCCCAUUAGCUAGUUGGUAUGGUAACGGCAUAGCAAGGCGACGAUGGGUAGGGGUCCUGAGAGGGA
rnacentral:rRNA from 1 species